rnacentral:rRNA from 1 species
UACCAGCUCUCCGAGUGGUAGGGAUGAUUAUUGGGCUUAAAGCGUCCGUAGCCGGCUUAGCAAGUUUCCUGUUAAACCCAGCGACUCAAUCGUUGGAUCGCGGGAAAUACUACUAGGCUAGGAGGCGGGAGAGGUCAACGGUACUUCUGGGGUAGGGGUGAAAUCCUAUAAUCCCGGGAGGACCACCAGUGGCGAAGGCUGUUGACUAGAACGCGCUCGACGGUGAGGGACGAAAGCUGGGGGAGCGAACCGGAUUAGAUACCCGGGUAGUCCCAGCUGUAAACGAUGCGAGCUAGGUGUUGGGAUGGCUACGGGCCAUUUCAGUGCCGCAGGGAAGCCAUUAAGCUCGCCGCCUGGGGAGUACGGCCGCAAGGCUGAAACUUAAGGAAUUGGCGGGGGAGCGCCACAAGGCGUGAAGCUUGCGGUUC